rnacentral:rRNA from 1 species
GCAUAUCAAUAAGCGGAGGAAAAGAAACCAACCGGGAUUGCCUCAGUAACGGCGAGUGAAGCGGCAAGAGCUCAAAUUUGAAAUCUGGCCCCCUCGGGGUCCGAGUUGUAAUUUGCAGAGGAUGCUUCGGGUGCGGCCCCCGUCUAAGUGCCCUGGAACGGGCCGUCAUAGAGGGUGAGAAUCCCGUCUGGGACGGGGUGUCCGCGUCCGUGUGAAGCUCCUUCGACGAGUCGAGUUGUUUGGGAAUGCAGCUCUAAAUGGGUGGUAAAUUUCAUCUAAAGCUAAAUACUGGCCGGAGACCGAUAGCGCACAAGUAGAGUGAUCGAAAGAUGAAAAGCACUUUGAAAAGAGAGUUAAAAAGCACGUGAAAUUGUUGAAAGGGAAGCGCUUGCGACCAGACUCGCCCGCGGGGUUCAGCCGGCAUUCGUGCCGGUGUACUUCCCCGCGGGCGGGCCAGCGUCGGUUUGGGCGGCCGGUCAAAGGCCCCCGGAAUGUAGCACCCUUCGGGGUGCCUUAUAGCCGGGGGUGCAAUGCGGCCAGCCUGGACCGAGGAACGCGCUUCGGCACGGACGCUGGCAUAAUGGUCGUAAACGACCCGUCUUGAAACACGGACCAAGGAGUCUAACAUCUACGCGAGUGUUCGGGUGUCAAACCCGUGCGCGCAGUGAAAGCGAACGGAGGUGGGAGCCCCCCCGCGGGGCGCACCAUCGACCGAUCCUGAUGUCUUCGGAUGGAUUUGAGUAAGAGCGUAAAUGUGGGGACCCGAAAGAUGGUGAACUAUGCCUGAAUAGGGCGAAGCCAGAGGAAACUCUGGUGGAGGCUCGCAGCGGUUCUGACGUGCAAAUCGAUCGUCAAAUUUGGGGUAUAGGGGCGAAAGACUAAUCGAACCAUCUGGUAGCUGGUUCCUGCC